CUGAUUUCAGUUCAGUCUCCAGAACUGUGAGAAAUAAAUGUUUGUUGUUUAUAAAACACCCACUGGCAUUCUGUUAUAGCAGCUUGUGCAAGGUAAGGCAAUGUCCCAGAGGCCGAUGUCACAUACUGUGGCUUCUAUCAUAUUCUAUUGGCUAGAAGUGACUCAUUAAGUAUGGCUUACACUCAAGGGGAAGAGAAUUAAGCUCUACCUCUCGAAAGGAGGAGAGUUUGUGGACACAUUUCAAAACCGUCAUAGAGCCCCUUGUCCAUGGUCCCACAGCGUCCUCCAGUUAUCCUUACAUUAGCACUUAGCAGACCAUUUGUCACAGUCUGUCUCCCUCACUACUGCACUGGGGGUUCCCUGAGCAUCAGGACCGGUUUCCAUUUACAGUUAUAUUCCUAGAUCCUACCACAGUCCCUUGCACAGUGCUUGGUAACCGUCUGUUUGUUUGAAUGACUCAACGACCUGUCUGGACACAUAAAACGUAUAGAUCAGUGCUUUUCAAAUUUCCAUGCAUAUACAGCACCUGGGUGGUUUGUUAAAAUGAGGAUUCUGCUUCAGUAGGUCUGGGGUGGAGCCUGAGAUGCUGUUUUCCUAACAAGCUCCCAGGUGAUACUGAUGCUGUGCUUCAUGGAGCAGGAAUCUAGAUCACGUGAUCCUACUCCCAGACAAGCUUAAUAACCUAGCUGGGGAGACACUUCAUCCGGCAGGACAGCCCGGGGCCGCCCACAAAGCAGCGUCAGCCCAGUCGUGGGCACACCUACUGCAUGCUGGGCUCCUCUUCCUUCAAAUGCCUGGGAUGAAAGAGGACGUGUCAGUAAAAGACAGUCGAGAAGGCGUCUGCGGAAUACAGAAAGGCGUCCAAGACUGGAACUGAGACAUCAGCUCUUCUUGGGUCUCGAGUCACCAGCCUUUGGGCCUGCAACUUCACCAUUGACUUUCCUGCUUCUCAGGCCUUUGGAAUUGUACUGCAAUUUACAUCAUCAGUUCUCCUGGGUCUUCAGCUGGCUGACAGCAGGUCUGGGGACUUAGCUUCCAUAAUCAGCCAAAUGUAACAUCUUCAAAGCGAUUCUCUGGUUCAAAAACAGAGGAUGUUGAGGAACAUCCCAUGAGGCCCCUGAGCUUCCCAGUCUCCUGGCGAUUUAUUAAGUGCCAGGCUCUAUUCUGCAGUGGAGCAGACCAGACAAUGAAGGAGACUGCAAUCCAGGGGAGGAAGAAUGAUGACAAGAAAGAAAGAAAGAAGUAAAUAAAUCAGGUCAUUCCAGAAAGUGAUAAGUGUCAUGAAGGGAAUAAAUGGGGUGUGUCGAGUCAGAGCAGGGGCUUGAUAAACUACGGCCCUUGGACCAAAUGCGGCCACCACCUGUUGUAAAUAAAGUUUCACUGGAACAUGGCUAUGCCCAUUUGGAUACAUAUUGUUUAUGGCCGUUACCACAGCACAGCUGAGUAGCUGAGACAGAGAUUGUAUAUGGCCCACAAAGCUGAAAAAUUUGCUAUCUAACUCUUUACAAUAAAAGCUUGCUGAUUCCUGGGUUAGAGAGUGACAAGGGUGUUCAUUUUAGCUGGGAUGGCCGGGGAGACCUCUCUGCGGAGAUGACAUCUGAGCUGAGCACUGAUUGACGGGAAGGAAGAAGCCACGUGCAGAUCCUGGAGAAGAGAAUUCCAGGCAUUGGGAACAGAGGAUGCAAAGCCUCAUUAAAGCUCAUUAAAGAUGCAAAGCAUCUUUCCCCAAAUCACACAGGUGAUGAGAGUCAGAGCCAGGGCUGGAACCCGGGUCUGUGGACCUCAGAGCCUGGCGAGCAGCCCCACCUUGGCUGCUGAAUGCCCACCAUGAACUCUGUAUAAGACCUGGAUCUCUGCUUCGGUCCAAGAUGUGGGGCAUGAACGGCCCACAGCAAGGAGUCCUGGAAACCACGAAGCUGGGACCAGAGUGGGGUGGGGUGGGAGGUCCAGCUGGCUCCCAAAACGGCUCUGCCUUGCUGAGCACUGGGGUCUCACGCCAGAGCUCGGGGACAGCAGUCAGGCUGUCUGGGUUUGAAUCCCCAUGUCCCGCAUACCAGGUGUGUUACUUCUUCCUCAUCAAUAAAAUGCGUGGAGAACCAGUACCGUCCUCGUAGCUUUGUUUGUGAUGAUUAAACGUGCUGACUCAUGUGAGGUGCUUAAAAUGGUGCCUGGCAUAUUCUAAGUACUUGGGAAAGUUUAGCUAGGAUUAUUAUCAUUGGCAUUAUUAGUACACAAUACACACACACAACUAUAGGGCGGAUUUUAUCAUCCCUAUGUUACAGAUGAGGAAACGGAAGCAGCUGUAGUUUAGAGACAGACCUGGAGUUAAAUCCAGGGCUGGCUGACUCCAAAGCCCGUUCUUGUCAUUACGAUACUCUACCAAGAGGCUCAUACAGCAGCAGGAAGCUAAAAGAAUGCUUUUGUUUUUUAUUUUAUUUUUCCAUCUGGGAGCUAGUCUUUUGCAGACUUGGUUUCCCCAUCUGCAAAAUGGGGAUACUCACCCUUCCAGCAAUUAGACUCACUUCUACCUGGCACGAGGCUCAGGUAGAAGUUCACGUGCUUUGUAAACAGUAAAGUAAUGUAUGAACAAGAGAGACAGUGACUGUUUCCCAGGGCUUAAAGAUGGGGAAGCAGAAAGUCUAGACAUUUGGACUGAAGGAAAGAAGCUAGAUGUUUCUAUCUUGAGGAAGUUCCCACUCAUGGCUUAUUUCAUUGCCAAACACAAGAAUAUAUUUUUUUGAAAAGACUGGCUAAUGAUUCUGGUAGGUCGUGUUUUACCAAAUCAGGUUUUGCUAUAGCCAAGAUCACCAGGAUUAGAAGAAACCUCCUUAUAAGACAACGUAGCAUUCAGAUGACAAUGCUUCCUCUUUGCUUGAUGGUGGCUGUCACCCUCGGAGACAACCAGGAGAGCCUGGAUAAUCAGCACGUUACUUUCUAAUAUGUGUGGUCCUGAGUGAGGAAGAAAGACCGUGUAUAUGUGCCUGCCCUUUAAAAAGCAAUGGGAGGGCUUCCCUGGUGGCGCAGUGGUUAAGAAUCCACCUGCCAAUGCAGGGCACACGGGUUCGAGUC